rnacentral:rRNA from 1 species
UUGAUUUGAAAGGCGCUUUCGGGUGUCGCUGAUGGAUGGACCCGCGGUGCAUUAGCUAGUUGGUGAGGUAACGGCUCACCAAGGCCACGAUGCAUAGCCGACCUGAGAGGGUGAUCGGCCACAUUGGGACUGAGACACGGCCCAAACUCCUACGGGAGGCAGCAGUAGGGAAUCUUCGGCAAUGGACGAAAGUCUGACCGAGCAACGCCGCGUGAGUGAAGAGGGUUUUCGGAUCGUAAAACUCUGUUGUUAGAGAAGAACAAGGAUGAGAGUAACUGUUCAUCCCUUGACGGUAUCUAACCAGAAGGCCACGGCUAACUACGUGCCAGCAGCCGCGGUAAUACGUAGGUGGCAAGCGUUGUCCGGAUUUAUUGGGCGUAAAGCGAGCGCAGGCGGUUUCUUAAGUCUGAUGUGAAAGCCCCCGGCUCAACCGGGGAGGGUCAUUGGAAACUGGGAGACUUGAGUGCAGAAGAGGAGAGUGGAAUUCCAUGUGUAGCGGUGAAAUGCGUAGAUAUAUGGAGGAACACCGGUGGCGAAGG